rnacentral:rRNA from 1 species
UACGGAGGGAGCUAGCGUUAUUCGGAAUUACUGGGCGUAAAGCGCACGUAGGCGGCUUUGUAGGUUAGAGGUGAAAGCCUGGAGCUCAACUCCAGAACUGCCUUUAAGACUGCAUCGCUUGAAUCCAGGAGAGGUGAGUGGAAUUCCGAGUGUAGAGGUGAAAUUCGUAGAUAUUCGCAAGAACACCAGUGGCGAAGGCGGCUCACUGGCCCGGUACUGACGCUGAGGUGCGAAAGCGUGGGGAGCAAACAGG